AUCAGUGUGUGUGUUAGUGGAAGCGUCUGGAAAGGCGUGCGAUACAGGGUGACAGCCCCGUACACAAAAAUGCACAUGCUGUGAGCUCGAUGAGUAGGGCGGGACACGUGGUAUCCUGUCUGAAUAUGGGGGGACCAUCCUCCAAGGCUAAAUACUCCUGACUGACCGAUAGUGAACCAGUACCGUGAGGGAAAGGCGAAAAGAACCCCGGCGAGGGGAGUGAAAAAGAACCUGAAACCGUGUACGUACAAGCAGUGGGAGCACGCUUAGGCGUGUGACUGCGUACCUUUUGUAUAAUGGGUCAGCGACUUAUAUUCUGUAGCAAGGUUAACCGAAUAGGGGAGCCGAAGGGAAACCGAGUCUUAACUGGGCGUUAAGUUGCAGGGUAUAGACCCGAAACCCGGUGAUCUAGCCAUGGGCAGGUUGAAGGUUGGGUAACACUAACUGGAGGACCGAACCGACUAAUGUUGAAAAAUUAGCGGAUGACUUGUGGCUGGGGGUGAAAGGCCAAUCAAACCGGGAGAUAGCUGGUUCUCCCCGAAAGCUAUUUAGGUAGCGCCUCGUGAAUUCAUCUCCGGGGGUAGAGCACUGUUUCGGCAAGGGGGUCAUCCCGACUUACCAACCCGAUGCAAACUGCGAAUACCGGAGAAUGUUAUCACGGGAGACACACGGCGGGUGCUAACGUCCGUCGUGAAGAGGGAAACAACCCAGACCGCCAGCUAAGGUCCCAAAGUCAUGGUUAAGUGGGAAACGAUGUGGGAAGGCCCAGACAGCCAGGAUGUUGGCUUAGAAGCAGCCAUCAUUUAAAGAAAGCGUAAUAGCUCACUGGUCGAGUCGGCCUGCGCGGAAGAUGUAACGGGGCUAAACCAUGCACCGAAGCUGCGGCAGCGACGCUGAUGCGUUGUUGGGUAGGGGAGCGUUCUGUAAGCCUGCGAAGGUGUGCUGUGAGGCAUGCUGGAGGUAUCAGAAGUGCGAAUGCUGACAUAAGUAACGAUAAAGCGGGUGAAAAGCCCGCUCGCCGGAAGACCAAGGGUUCCUGUCCAACGUUAAUCGGGGCAGGGUGAGUCGACCCCUAAGGCGAGGCCGAAAGGCGUAGUCGAUGGGAAACAGGUUAAUAUUCCUGUGCUUGGUGUUACUGCGAAGGGGGGACGGAGAAGGCUAUGUUGGCCGGGCGACGGUUGUCCCGGUUUAAGCGUGUAGGCUGGUUUUCCAGGCAAAUCCGGAAAAUCAAGGCUGAGGCGUGAUGACGAGGCACUACGGUGCUGAAGCAACAAAUGCCCUGCUUCCAGGAAAAGCCUCUAAGCAUCAGGUAACAUCAAAUCGUACCCCAAACCGACACAGGUGGUCAGGUAGAGAAUACCAAGGCGCUUGAGAGAACUCGGGUGAAGGAACUAGGCAAAAUGGUGCCGUAACUUCGGGAGAAGGCACGCUGAUAUGUAGGUGAAGUCCCUCGCGGAUGGAGCUGAAAUCAGUCGAAGAUACCAGCUGGCUGCAACUGUUUAUUAAAAACACAGCACUGUGCAAACACGAAAGUGGACGUAUACGGUGUGACGCCUGCCCGGUGCCGGAAGGUUAAUUGAUGGGGUCAGCGCAAGCGAAGCUCUUGAUCGAAGCCCCGGUAAACGGCGGCCGUAACUAUAACGGUCCUAAGGUAGCGAAAUUCCUUGUCGGGUAAGUUCCGACCUGCACGAAUGGCGUAAUGAUGGCCAGGCUGUCUCCACCCGAGACUCAGUGAAAUUGAACUCGCUGUGAAGAUGCAGUGUACCCGCGGCAAGACGGAAAGACCCCGUGAACCUUUACUAUAGCUUGACACUGAACAUUGAGCCUUGAUGUGUAGGAUAGGUGGGAGGCUUUGAAGUGUGGACGCCAGUCUGCAUGGAGCCGACCUUGAAAUACCACCCUUUAAUGUUUGAUGUUCUAACG
rnacentral:rRNA from 1 species